rnacentral:rRNA from 1 species
UACGUAGGGUGCGAGCGUUGUCCGGAAUUAUUGGGCGUAAAGAGCUCGUAGGCGGUCUGUCGCGUCGGUCGUGAAAACUUGGGGCUUAACCCUGAGCUUGCGGUCGAUACGGGCAUGACUGGAGUUCGGCAGGGGAGACUGGAAUUCCUGGUGUAGCGGUGAAAUGCGCAGAUAUCAGGAGGAACACCCGUGGCGAAGGCGGCUUUCUGGGACGGUACUGACGCUGAGACGCGAAAGCGUGGGGAGCGAACAGG